CAGAUCCUGAGUCUCAAGUGUUAAAAAUAAACACCAGGACUCUGCUGUUGGUCUGAAUCAUCUCCAAGGUAUCUUGAUUUGAGUGCUUUUGCUUUAGUUAUCUUGUAUAGUGCAUAUGAUGACCCUAUUUGCUACUCUUGAUUUCAUGCUGAUGAAAUUGCAACCACCAAAAUACCUUGUCUGAAGCACCAUAAACCAAUCUUUUUUUUUUUUUUUUUUUUUUUUUUUUUUGUCCAUUUUGAUAUUUACAAGUUCUCUUUUCUUUGCAGGGUCAUGUGCUCUGCAGUUCAACUUGAAGGUUGCCUAAAAAGGUGGAUCAAGCUGUAUGGAGAUGGCGUCAGUUGACUUGAGGUUCCCCAAGAAGAUUGAAAAUGUAUGAAGACUCCAGCUGAUAUGCAAGAUGUCUGCAUGUGGCCAAUCGUUUCAGAUUUUCUGACUUAAAAUGGAGAUGAAUGACCCGUCAUUAAAGUAGUCUUCAUGGUGAGUGCACAUUUAAAGUGUUGUAACCGAAGCAAAAGUGGUCUCAAGCUGAUGAGUGUGAAUCAGGUCUCUGAUCUCAUUGAGGACAUGGAAGCAUUUCUGAUUUAAGACUGAUUAGAAGUGAGCUUUACCACCUCAAGCUA
rnacentral:sRNA from 1 species